CUUCUUUGUCAUACACAGCUUGCUGCAAGUAUGAUAUAUUCUUCUCCUGAGCCCCGAUCUGAUCCAGAAUCUAUUACACGCACACAGUAAACAACCAUAGAGAGUCAUUUCAUGUUCUAUCAUACACUGUAAACAAUUAUCUAAAAUGUAUUUUCUUAUCAGUUAUGUAGUUUAGGGUUUUAUGCUAUAUCUUAUGCUAUUAAAUAAAUAAAUGUGUAUUGUAUUAUUUGA